CCUACGGGAGGCUGCAGUCGAGAAUCAUUCACAAUGGGGGAAACCCUGAUGGUGCGACGCCGCGUGGGGGAAUGAAGGUCUUCGGAUUGUAAACCCCUGUCAUGGGGGAGCAAAUUAAAAAGAUAGUACCACAAGAGGAAGAGACGGCUAACUCUGGGCCAGCAGCCGCGGUAAUACAGAGGGCUCAAGCGUUGUUCGGAUUCACUGGGCGUAAAGCGUGCGUAGGCGGUUUCGUAAGUCGGGAGUGAAAGGCGCGGGCUCAACCCGCGGACGGCACAUGAUACUGCGAGACUAGAGUACUGGAGGGGGAAGCGGAAUUCUCGGUGUAGCAGUGAAAUGCGUAGAUAUCGGGAGGAACACUAGUGGCGAAGGCGGGUUCCUGGACAUUAACUGACGUUGAGGCACGAAGGCCAGGGGAGCGAAAGGGAUUAGAUACCCGAGUAGUC
rnacentral:rRNA from 1 species